UACGUAGGGGGCAAGCGUUGUCCGGAUUUAUUGGGCGUAAAGAGCGUGUAGGCGGCCAGGUAGGUCUGCUGUGAAAACUCGAGGCUUAACCUCGAGCUGUCGGCGGAAACCAUCUGGCUAGAGUCCGGAAGAGGAGAAUGGAAUUCCCGGUGUAGCGGUGAAAUGCGCAGAUAUCGGGAAGAACACCCGUGGCGAAGGCGGUUCUCUGGGACGGUACUGACGCUGAGAAGCGAAAGCAUGGGUAGCAAACAGG
rnacentral:rRNA from 1 species